GCUAGACUGGCAGAGAACAGCAAGGCUGGCACUGUGACCUACAGCUUCCAGGUGGCUCUGUCCCCAGGUUCCAGCUUGGCAUCAGGAUACCCCAGGAUACUCAACUCUGACCCCCUCACCAACAAAUUCACUGUGUCCAUGAUCAACACUAACAAAGCACAGGUAACAGUAACAGGUACUACCAACCUGGAUUUUGAGACAUCACCCAACAGCUUUGUCCUUCAGAUCCUCGCCGUGGACAGUACGAAGGACCUGGCUCUUCAGAGACUCACAGUGAUCCUAACUGACGUCAACGAACCCCCUGUAUUCCUAGAUGAAGAGUCUGUCCUGUAUGUUCUGGAGAAAUCC
rnacentral:lncRNA from 1 species